rnacentral:rRNA from 1 species
GGUACGCGAGCUGGGUUUAGAACGUCGUGAGACAGUUCGGUCCCUAUCUGCCGUGGGCGCUGGAGAACUGAGGGGGGCUGCUCCUAGUACGAGAGGACCGGAGUGGACGCAUCACUGGUGUUCGGGUUGUCAUGCCAAUGGCACUGCCCGGUAGCUAAAUGCGGAAGAGAUAAGUGCUGAAAGCAUCUAAGCACGAAACUUGCCCCGAGAUGAGUUCUCCCUGAGACUUAGAGUCUCCUGAAGGAACGUUGAAGACGACGACGUUGAUAGGCCGGGUGUGUAAGCGCAGCGAUGCGUUGAGCUAACCGGUACUAAUGAACCGUGAGGCUUAACCUUAC